rnacentral:rRNA from 1 species
AAUUAAUAAUUUAUUUAUUUAAUAAUUAAAUUUAAUAUUUAAUAGAAAUAAUUUUAAAUUUUAUAUUUUUAGUAUAUUUUGUAGAAAAAAUAAUUUUUAUUAUAGAGAAUAAGUAUUGUGAAAGAAAUUUGAAAUAUUAUGAAAAUAAUUUUUUUAAAAAGAAGUAUUAAUUUUAUGUACCUUUUGUAUCAGGGUUUAUUAAAUAAUAUUUAUUUAAAAAUAAAUUUCUCGAAUUUAAAAGAUUUAAUAGAUUAUUAAAGUUAAUGUUGAAUAAUUAUUUUAAAUAAUUUAUUGGUAAUGAAAUGUUAUUCGUUUUUAAAAAUAUCUAGUUUUUUAAGAAAUAAAUUUAAUUUAUAUAUUUUUAAUAUAAAUUUUUAUUUUUAUAAUAAUUUAUUUAUUAAUAUAAAUAUAUUAAGGGAUAAGCUUUAAUUUAAGGUCUAUAAUUUUUUUUAAGUUAAGUAUAAAUGUAAGGUUAGAAAUAUCUAUUAUUAAUAAAUUUGUUUUAAUUUAUAUUCUUAUUUUUAUAAUUUAUUAAAUAUUUAGAUUUUUUAUUAAAAUUAAUAUUUUAAUUAUUAAAGUGUUGUAAUAAUGAUAAAAUUAGUAUAAAUUAUUGUUAAUUUUUGUUAAUUAAUAAAGAUUAAAUAAAGGAAUUCGGCAAAUUUAAUACUCACCUGUUUAACAAAAACAUGUCUUUUUGAUUAUAAUUUAAAGUCUAACCUGCCCACUGAUUAAUUUUGAAGGGCCGCGGUAUUUUGACUGUGCAAAGGUAGCAUAAUCAUUAGUCUUUUAAUUGAAGGCUUGUAUGAAUGGUUGGAUGAGGUAUUAACUGUCUCUAUUUAAUAAAUAAUAGAAUUUUAUUUUUAAGUUAAAAAGCUUAAAUAUUUUUAAAAGACGAGAAGACCCUAUAGAUCUUUAUAUUAAAAUUUAUAAUAAUUUUUUAGUUAAUAUUUAUUUUUAUAAGUAAUAGUAUUAAAUUGGGGUGAUUAAAAAAUUUAAUUAACUUUUUUUUUAUUAAACAAUAAUUUUUGAAUAAUUGAUCCAUUUUUUAUGAUUAAAAGAUUAAGUUACCUUAGGGAUAACAGCGUAAUUUUUUUGGAGAGUUCUUAUCGAUAAGAAAGAUUGCGACCUCGAUGUUGAAUUAAAGGUUAAUUUUAGGUGUAGAAGUUUAAAGUUUUGGUCUGUUCGACCAUUAAAUCUUUACAUGAUUUGAGUUCAAACCGGCGUAAGCCAGGUUGGUUUCUAUCUUUAAUUUAAUAAAAUAUUUUAGUACGAAAGGACCAGAUAUUUAAAAUAAUUUUUUUAUAUGAAUAAUAUUAAU